rnacentral:miRNA from 1 species
CAGCUAAAUUUGAGUUUCAGGUAAACAAUGGGUAAUUCUUUAGUAUAAGUGCAUCCCAUGCAAUAUUUGAGACAGACUUAUACUAAAAAAAAUUUGUUGUUUAUCUGAAAUUCAAGUUUAACU